AAAAUAAUUACCUCUAAAUCCCUUUACUCAGAUGUUGGGGUUAGGACUCUAUCAAAUAUUUUAUACUCUGCCCUUGGGUUUUUACAUUAUUUUGCAUUAUCUUGCACUUAUCCAUAUUUAAUGUAAGUUGCCACAGCUCUGACUAUUUUUCUAGAUUACCUAAAUUAUUUGCCAUUUGGCAUAUUCCUUCUGGAACAUCAACCCUGUUGAAAAUUUGUUUUUCACUAUCAAAAACUCAUACCUUACCAUCAAGACCUCCUGCAAUAUCAGUACUAAAAAAAGAGAAUGGGUCCAAGUUCAGAUCCCUGAGGUACCCCACUGGUAACAAAACCUUGUUUUGAAUAUACUCCAUUGACUACAUCCCUUUGUUGGCUGUCACUCAACCACUGUUUAGCCCAUUCCACAAUAUUGGAAUCCAUACUCAGAUUGCUGUUUAUUGAAUAGCCUUCUAUGUGCAACAUUGUCAAAAGCUUUACUGAAAUCUAGGUAAGCAACGUCUACUGCACGGCCCUGAUCUAUUCUUAUAAAACACAAAAUCUACACUUUUGAUGUUGGGCUUUGUGGCCACCAAAAAAAUGUAAACUGUUUUCUGUGCGUUUAUGAGUAGUAGAAGUAUAGCAUUCUCAUGCUG